rnacentral:rRNA from 1 species
AUACGGAGGGUGCGAGCGUUGCUCGGAAUCACUGGGCGUAAAGCGUGUGUAGGCGGCCGGGUAAGUCAGAUGUGAAAGCCCUCGGCUCAACCGAGGAAUUGCAUCUGAUACUGCUCGGCUUGAGUACGGGAGAGGGAGGCGGAAUUCCCAGUGUAGAGGUGAAAUUCGUAGAGAUUGGGAGGAACACCAGUGGCGAAAGCGGCCUCCUGGACCGAUACUGACGCUGAGACACGAAAGCGUGGGGAGCAAACAGGAUUAGAAACCCCAGUAGUCC